UUCAACUGAUGUCCCUGGGUUCAGUGCUGUGGCUGGGUUCCUCCAUCCUAACACGGGCAUCUUGCUGGGAGGCAGGAAGCAGGCAGUAGAUGGACCCUAGAGCAUCUUGUGAAUCCCUAGCUUCCUGCUUUGGGUCUAGAGGAUUGAUUGCAUAUUAAGCCUCAAACUUUCACAAUAUGUUAUUUGUCCAUUCAUGCAAUUAUGCAUUCAGCAAACAUUUUUUUAACACUUAGUAUGUAUUAGGUAUAUGGCAGGUGCCCAGGAGACAGGUCACCCUGCCCUCAGGGGCCCACAGUCUAAGUGGGGGACAAUUUAGUGUGACAGGCUGUCAUGGAAGUGUGCCUGGGAGCUCUGAGAAGG
rnacentral:lncRNA from 10 species